rnacentral:rRNA from 1 species
AAUGAACGCUGGCGGCAGGCCUAACACAUGCAAGUCGAACGGAUCCUUCGGGAUUAGUGGCGGACGGGUGAGUAACGCGUGGGAACAUACCCAAAGGUACGGAAUAGCCUCGGGAAACUGGGAGUAAUACCGUAUGUGCUCGAAAGAGGAAAGAUUUAUCGCCUUUGGAUUGGCCCGCGUUGGAUUAGGUAGUUGGUGGGGUAAUGGCCUACCAAGCCGACGAUCCAUAACUGGCUUGAGAGGAUGAUCAGCCACACUGGGACUGAGACACGGCCCAGACUCCUACGGGAGGCAGCAGUGGGGAAUCUUAGACAAUGGGGGAAACCCUGAUCUAGCCAUGCCGCGUGAUCGAUGAAGGCCUUAGGGUUGUAAAGAUCUUUCAGGUGGGAAGAUAAUGACUGUACCACCAGAAGAAGCCCCGGCUAACUCCGUGCCAGCCGCCGCAGUAA